rnacentral:rRNA from 1 species
CCUACGGGAGGCAGCAGUGGGGAAUAUUGCACAAUGGGGGAAACCCUGAUGCAGCGACGCCGCGUGAGUGAAGAAGUAUCUCGGUAUGUAAAGCUCUAUCAGCAGGGAAGAAAAAGGACGUUACUUGACUAAGAAGCCCCGGCUAACUACGUACAAGCAGCCGCGGUAAUACGUAGGGGGCAAGCGUUAUCCGGAUUUACUGGGUGUAAAGGGAGCGUAGACGGCUGUACAAGUCUGGAGUGAAAGCCCAGGGCUCAACCCUGGAACUGCUUUGGAAACUGUGGAGCUUGAGUGCAGGAGAGGUAAGCGGAAUUCCUAGUGUAGCGGUGAAAUGCGUAGAUAUUAGGAGGAACACCGGUGGCGAAGGCGGCUUACUGGACAGUAACUGACGUUGAGGCUCGAAAGCGUGGGGAGCAAACAGGAUUAGAUACCCCAGUAGUC